CAAGGAGACUGUCAGUGUCACCAGUGUCCCUUCCUUUCUUGGUGAAAUUGGCUCACAUAGAAACAUAGAAUGUGAUUGCAGAUAAGAACCAUUCGGCCCAUCUAGUCUUCCCAAUUUAUUAAAUACUUUCAUUAGUCCGUGGCCUUAUCAGGCAAAGACACAAUUUUUUGGGUGCGCCAAAAUGCAUUUUCACCUGUGUAUUCAUAAAUCCUUG